AGCGAACGCUGGCGGCAUGCCUAACACAUGCAAGUCGCACGGGGGGGCUUCGGCCUCCCAGUGGCGGACGGGUGAGGAACGCGUAGGGACCUGUCGAGGGGUGGGGGAUAACCGCGGGAAACUGCGGCUAAUACCGCAUGACGCCGCGGCGUGACAGCCGGGGCCAAAGGCGAAAGCCGCCCGCCGAGGGGCCUGCGUCCGAUUAGCUGGUUGGCGGGGUAGCGGCCCACCAAGGCGUCGAUCGGUAGCUGGUCUGAGAGGGUGAUCAGCCACACCGGGACUGAGACACGGCCCGGACUCCUCGGGAGGCAGCAGUGGGGAAUAUUGGACAAUGGGCGCAAGCCUGAUCCAGCAAUGCCGCGUGGGUGAAGAAGGACUUCGGAUUGUAAAGCCCUUUCGGCGGGGACGAUGGUGACGGUACCCGCAGAAGAAGCCCCGGCUAACUUCGUG
rnacentral:rRNA from 1 species